rnacentral:rRNA from 1 species
AGUGAACGCUGGCGGUAGGCCUAACACAUGCCAGUCGAACGGCAGCACAGUAAGAGCUUGCUCUUACGGGUGGCGAGUGGCGGACGGGUGAGGAAUACAUCGGAAUCUACUUUUUCGUGGGGGAUAACGUAGGGAAACUUACGCUAAUACCGCAUACGACCUACGGGUGAAAGCAGGGGAUCUUCGGACCUUGCGCGAUUGAAUGAGCCGAUGUCGGAUUAGCUAGUUGGCGGGGUAAAGGCCCACCAAGGCGACGAUCCGUAGCUGGUCUGAGAGGAUGAUCAGCCACACUGGAACUGAGACACGGUCCAGACUCCUACGGGAGGCAGCAGUGGGGAAUAUUGGACAAUGGGCGCAAGCCUGAUCCAGCCAUACCGCGUGGGUGAAGAAGGCCUUCGGGUUGUAAAGCCCUUUUGUUGGGAAAGAAAAGCGGCAGGUUAAUACCCCGCUGUUCUGACGGUACCCAAAGAAUAAGCACCGGCUAACUUCGUG